UGGCGGCGUGCCUAACACAUGCAAGUCGAACGGAGUAAAACGCUGAAUUGAUGUAAGCUUGCUUAUGGAUUUCUUGUUUACUUAGUGGCGGACGGGUGAGUAACGCGUCGAGUAACCUGCCUUGGAGUGGGGAAUAACACAGUGAAAAUUGUGCCUAAUACCGCAUAAUGCAUUUGAGUCGCAUGGCUCUGAAUGCCAAAGAUUUAUCGCUCUGAGAUGGACUCGCGUCUGAUUAGCUAGUUGUGGGGUAACGGCCCACCAAGGCGACGAUCAGUAGCCGGACUGAGAGGUUGGCCGGCCACAUUGGGACUGAGACACGGCCCAGACUCCUACGGGAGGCAGCAGUGGGGAAUAUUGGGCAAUGGGCGCAAGCCUGACCCAGCAACGCCGCGUGAAGGAAGAAGGCCCUCGGGUUGUAAACUUCUUUUGUCAGGGACGAAUUUUGACGGUACCUGACGAAUAAGCCACGGCUAACUACGUG
rnacentral:rRNA from 1 species